rnacentral:lncRNA from 1 species
CAUAAUUGGCAUCACACUAUCUCUUCAUUUUCUUCACCAAAUCCUUUAUUUUUAUUUUCACCAUCCUCUUCAAAACAAUUAUCUUCAAAAAUAUUGAUAUCUUCAACAUGAUUUUCUAUAUUGAUUUCUCUAUCUUGUCUUUUAAAAAUCUUCACUGACUUCUCAACAAUAGGUAUUUUCAACCUCAUACCAUCUAACUCCUUUAAUGAAUAUGUGGCAUUAU